GCCGCUGUGGUGGAAUAGGCAGACACAAGGGACUUAAAAUCCCUCGGAGUAAAAUCCGUGCCGGUUCAAGUCCGGCCAGCGGCACCA
rnacentral:tRNA from 1 species